rnacentral:lncRNA from 1 species
UUGCACUUUCUCACGUCCACUUGGAGAUAUUGUCACAGAGCUAUCAGUCACAUCUGGAAUCUGAAAGUUAGAAAUAUAUGCAGGGUAUGGAACAUUUUACUGAUAACAAAUGCUUAUUCUAGAAAUAAUAAACAUCGUAACCUCUGUACCACUGAAAGUACAAAAAUACUUUUUGUCAAGUUCCCUCCUCAAUCAUCUACUUAACAUACAUUAAAUGUUUUGCACUUUCAGACAUUUCAAAAGUUUGACUUAACAUCAGAUGUAGUUAUUAUAAGUAUUAUGUAUUUUUAUACUUUGCAACUACACUGACCCUUGUACUUCCAGGGGCCCUUGUACUUCCCGGGGCCCUGUCGUCUCUUCUCUUUGUUUACAGCUGCUUAAUACAGAUUCCACUCACAGCUCAUACUUGUGCUGUCCUCUUCGUUAAUUAGGUCUCUUCCUCCUCCUCAGUCCUCUCACUCAUUAUAAUUACAUUUUCAAUCACCCUUCUGAGGCUGAUUAUAAUCAGAUAAUUAUCUGAUCUAUUUACAAGUAACUUGUAAUUAUUACACAUUACUAAUCUUUACUUAAUUUUACAGGUACCUGUUCUUCUUUUUUUUUUUUUUUUUUGCAUCUCUCCUCUUUUGCAUUCCUCAAGCUUUACUAAUUGCUUAUUUGUUUCCAUAGGUAUUUUCAUCAGUAUUAUAUGUCUUUUUUCAUUUUAUAGUUUAUCUCAAAUAUCUUGCCACCACACAUAAAAUGCAAAACCACUAGACCAGUGUUUCCCAAGGUGGGCUAUGACAGUAAUUUUUAAGGCUGGGGUCACUUCAGAAUGGGAUGUGUAUAACAGAAGAAUAAAACUUGCAAUAAAUUUUUAAUUAAAACUUUAUAUCAAUAUCAUAUACUUUGUCCUAUAUUCAUUUAUUCAUGGUGAGCACAUUUUUUUUUUUUUUUUUUUUUACAUUUAAAGUCAGGUGUGGGACAGAAAAAGUUGAGAAGCACUGUAUUAGUCUUUUAUUUCUACAUCCCUGGUACCAUUAUUCUACAACCUGCACAACCCAUUGACUAUUUUGCUUUUUGUCAGUUUUCACUGAGUAACCUCAUGCUUAUAUUAACUUUCACCAUUUUAAUUCCUAAUUUCCAGUCUAGAUUUAACUCUAGGUUCACUUAUGUUUUCUAUUUUAUUCACUUUUAUUUAUUUAUUAUUUGCAUUUACUGAUCUUCUUCAUUAGUUCUUUGUUAUUCUUUUUUUCUAAGAAUGUGCACUGUUUCAAGGAGGCAAGAUUUUGGGAGCACUUGCAUGUCUACUUUGAUGUUUAACCAUUCCAGAUAGUAUAUUAUAGUUUGGGGUGGGACUGAUCUCAAUGCUCCAAAGAUAAAUGGUACCAUUUUCACAUUUGCUGCUGGACAAUCCCAAAUUCGUUGAUAUCUCUACUUUUCAAUCAGUAUAUAUUUCUGAGAUCUUUUCUACUUCCAUAACUGUAAAGUUUUUUGUCUGAAGGAAUUCUAAUGCCUAACACAAAGCAUUCUCCAUUUAUGUUUUGUAUAAUAUACAUCAAUGCUUAAUUCUGCUGUCUGUAAGGAUGUCAAACUCCCAUGGAAGUUUUGAUUUACUAGAUUCAUUUAAGGUUUUUUUCUAGUACAUGUUUGUACAUUUGUUUGAUGUUUUUCACAAAAUGACCAGUGUAACCCUAAGACAUACCUUAACAUGAUAUCACUUAACAUUUUGAAGCCUGCUACUUGUUCAAUAUUCUCCACUCAUUAGUUACACAAGUGGCAUUUGUUUGUUAAAGUGGUGCAAUAAAUAGCCUUGCUCUCUGUGCUUGAUUUUGGCCAGCCAUACACAGUUCCUCUUCUCAGACCUCACUUUAGAGUCAUAAUUCGUCAUAUUUUUGGUGUCUCUGAGGAAUCAUCCAUGUAAUUACAUUUCCUCAGGCAUUUUCUUCCUUUCAGAAAUUACCUUGCUUUGGUUAUGCUUUCUUCUGUUCAAAUAAGUCCUGGUUCCAUUGCAGCAUGUUUAAGAAGUUCUUCACUUUUUGCAAGGAAGUGCUCUUUGUCACAUCACAAAUUUUCAAUCAUUGUCACCAUCCAAUUGGGCAACUUACCCGGGUAAAUAAGCCAUAUUGGCCUUUCACUAGCUGAAUGUCUCACCUGAGCAUACCACAGAUAAUAAACAGUGGUUCAUGGACUAAACUAGUCUUGACUGGUACUCACCAUUAACAAUUUGCUGACGGUUCAUCCACUGACCACCAACUGGAAGUUCAUCAGCCGAAACAGUUCACAUUAUUCAUACUGCAUCCCAUGAUUUCCACAUAGCCUUGACUCGGGAGGUUACUGGGUGCUACGCCUAGCCAAGGAACCACUUAUGGGUUGGCGGAGGGCUACUUGUUCACAGCUGACCUCUAUUUACAUGCUAAUUAACCCAUAUGUGGGACCCUGGUAGGUACUGUUAUUCCAGAUCAGUGGAUCAUAUACAUACAUAUAUGUGUAUGUAUAUAGACACAUACACAUGCAGGCAAGCAGACAGAUGUUUGAGAGAGAGAGAGAGAGAGAGAGAGAGAGAGAGAGAAUAUCAUACAUUUGCUUGUCUGAGUUUCGCUGCUUUCUUUCUUGGUUCUGUGCUGCAUCUAUUAAAACUGUUUCUACUUUUGCUCUUGUAUUCCUCAAUUCACUUAAUUAUUUCUCGUUUAUUUCUUUCUUAUUGUCUUCUUCCACAAAAACUUUUCUAUCCCCAAAGUCUGUAGCAAUUUAUUUCUCUUUCUGAAAACAUGUACACUUCCAGAUUUGUUCUAAGUAUGACAUUUUCAAAUACUUGUUCUUGUUGUGAAUAUGUGAAUCAAAUUGGCCUAUAACAUAAUUAAUUUUUUUUUCACUUCUAAUUUAACUAUUUUUUCCCAUAAACAUGUUUUUUACCACUCUAAUACUGGCUUUAAAACUUCUCUAGAUUUUUAAUGGAUCACCAGAGCUUCUUUGAGUUUCCUAAAAUAUCCUCCCUUAAUGUUAGCCAACAAUUUUUUGAAUAAGUUCUUUUCUACAAACUUUUUCCAAAAUUUCUCUUUUUCUUGCAACGUUUUCCAUUUGUCAGUUAUUUCACCUUUUUUUAAGUAUAUAGGUGCAGGAGUGGCUGUGUGGUAAGAAGCUUGCUUCCCAACCUCAUGGUUCCAGGUUCAAUCCCACUGCAUGUCACCUUGGGCAAGUGUCUUUCUACUGCAGCCUCAGGCUAAUCAAUGUGACUGGAUUUUGUAGAUGGAAAUUGAAAGAAGCCCAUUGUGUGUGUGUGUGUGUGUGUUUGUUCCCCCACCUUAACAACUGGUGCUGGUGUGUUUAAUUCCCUCUAACUUAGCAGCUCAGCAAAAGGAACUGAUAGAAUAAGUGCCAGGCUUAUAAAAUAUAUCUUCUCAACUAGUUUUUCUAAAUAUUUCUAGAGUUUGCUUCUAUCUGAGACAUUCAAAUUUUUGCCAGUCUUUCAUCUCCAUUGGACAUUAAGCAGUAAUUUUACCCCCUAAAUAUGGACCUUUAAUUGACCAUAGAUUUAAACUAAAUACACUCACCCAACUCAUCUCCAACUCUUACAUUCCUACCUUUUCUUCCUUUGUAACAUUUCUUCUUAAUUUUUAUAAAGUUUUCAAUGUUUCUUUUCUUUCUCUCUCCAUCUUUAAAUAGUUUCAGAGCAAGUUUGGUUUCAUCGCUUAGGAUUUUUGCCUUUGACAUUUGACACCUUACUGAAAAUAUUAUUCUAGUUACUAUGAUGCUAUCAUAUCUGAUCUUAAAUACUUCCUCAACAAAUUAACCAAAGAUAUCAAAGAAACAGAGCUGUGAAUAAAUAUUCAUCAAACAAAAUAUAUAUUGAUCAGGCAAAAUAAACAUUGAUUAGACAAAAUUAGAAUUGAUCAAGUGAAAUAAAUAUUGAUCAGGCAAAAUAAGCCAUGCUCAGACAGAAUCUAUAUCUUUUUAUGUAAACACAACAGUAUCUAUAGAUUGCAAGGACAGCAGUCAGAGCAUAAAUAUUUAAGACCGUAGGGAGUAUUUUAUAGGAGAUUUGGUUGUUAAUUCUUGCAGGUUGAAUGACUGUGUAUUGUGCUUGCUCGUUAACUCCACUGAAUGUGACCAGGGCCACAUAGCAACAAUGUUGACAGCAGCAAUAACAACAACUAGACCAUAAAUAUUUCCAAUUAUCUAAGACACAGAAUACCACAUGCUAUAAAACAGAUGUAUAAUAGAGGAAGCCUUUCAACAAAUACAAAGGAGCUUAUAGCUUUGGAUGAAUUUCUAUCAGAACACAUCAAGACAUAUCAACAUAAUCUAGAUUGCUUUCUCAUCAUCAUCAUCGUCAUUAUACCCAUUACUGAUACCUUGAAGAUAAUGAUGUAAGAUCAUAUUAAUUGAGGGUCUCUACUUGAAACAAUAGUCAAUGACAUUGAACAGCUGUAAUUGGUGUGUUUUAUGGUGUUUCUCCAUUUUUGUUUUAUGUCUUGAUUCCUUCUGGAUGUUCUGAUUUCUCCAGAGACGGUCCAGAAUGCUGAUGGAAGCCGGCUUAAUUAUGUACUGCCCAAUAAAAUUCCCUGUUUGUUGUUCGCAUUUGAUAAUAAUGACCUCAUAACAUCUCCAAACAAUUCUCCAUUGUAAAGCAAAUUGAAAAUUGAGUUGUUGUUGAUUAACUUCGGGGUCAGUCAGACCUAUAAAUCCAUGGAAUUCCAACCUUGACCAUCUCAACUUUCAAGAGCAUAUCUAGAACUACAGUAUCUAAUGAGUGAAAUUUGAGGAAGAAUUAAUUAUUAUUUCAAGCAAGUUGAGUGAUCAUGUAGAGGCUCCCUCAGUUGGUGGUUUGGGUAACUGACAAAAUGAAACUGCAAAUAACUGAGGUUGGCUGUACCAACAGGCAAACAUUCGAGUUUCUCUAAAAUACUUGGGUUAGUGUAAUUUUCAAAAGCCAGAUGAGUGUGGUGUGGGGCAUUUAAGUUGCUACAAACAAGGAAGCCUUUAGAAGCUGCUGGGAAAAUGUGCAGUGUUAAGGGUGAUCC